AUGGUAGCAUUUUUAAAGAAGUCACCUGUUAACAACAACAAAAAAGAGGUACCAACAAAAAAUUCCCCCAAUUUUUAUUUGGUGAAUUAAUUCAUUGCCGCCUACAGAAUCCCUAAGUUUAAGUUAGAGCCAAAAUUCUUAAAUUACUUAUUUUAUCAUUGGAAUGCCUAGAUCUUCUUAGUUCCGCAACAUCGACGCCGUCGAAUAGCAGCAACGACAACAACCUCGACGGCGGCAACAACCACUACCACGAUGACAUCGCUAUUCCUUGGCUACAACAACAGCUGUGACGACAUCGCCUCCUCUUUCACAAUCUUUUUCACACCACCCCAUUAUUUCUCUACCGGAACCGAAUCUGGAAUUGGUAUUGCGUUUUCACUUAUUUGUUCAUGGAUUGGUACAGAUUUUGAGCUAAAGGGAAACACAACUCAAAGAUAACAGUGUCAAUCUUUUUGUUUAUGCAACUGGAUCAACACUCUUACUGGAAAGAUUCUAGGUCAGUUGGAGGACAUAUAUUUCUGUGAAGUGUAUGCAGUUGCACUAUUGUAAUGUGACUUGGCUGUUAAAGUAUUGAAGUGUAUCAUCCUCUGUGAUGUAUCUUAGUUUUUGAUAUAAAGCUAUCAUUUCUCUCCUUAUAGGGUGAACCUCAUAUUCUUCUAUUUUUCUUAGUCAAGUUUACACAUGUUCCACAUUCUCUUCUGUGUUUUGGAUGCAGUUCAACCUCCAAUUAUCUUCAAAAUAAAAAUAUCUCAUGUGAGUUUCCUUCUAAUCUCUUCAUUCCUUUUAUUCUUGUCGCUAAACUAGUUAUGUAAAGAAGCAACUUUUGAAGACAAUUUCCUCUACAGUUAUUUUCCACCACAACACUUGAUAGUUAUCUCUCUAUUUGGCUUAAGUUGUGUUGGAUUGAAGACAUGAUAAUUUAUGGCUAACAAUUUCUCAUAAUCAUCAUGAUACCACUUAGACAAGUUAUAUUAUGGCUAAUAAUUUUUCUUUAUAAUUGUGCCACUCAAAUUCAUGGUUAAUUCAUGGUUAUUAUGUUGUACGAUGUUAUGUUGAAAUCAGAGCUAUUCUAGUUGCAAUUGAGGUUCCGAACUACAAUCCAUUGGUUGAGGUAUGUUCCAAUUUCUUCAUGAGUAUUUUUAUUUUUCUUCUAAUUUACAAUGGUUUCUUGAUAAGUAAUAGAAAAAUAUUUGGAUAUCAUUUUGUCCGAAGAAAUGUAUUUAGAUAUAUUUGAUUAAUCUUCCUAUGUAAAAUACAAGUUGCUUCAUAGGUCCAAUGCUGAUAUUUUUCAUAUGUAAUAUCUUUUAUUUUUUGAGAUAGGUUCUUAUGCUUCUAGUGCUUCUAACCAUUAUAAAAUUUCUUGUAGUGACUACUACUAGUGUAUGUCAUCCCUCAUUAUAAAAUUUCUUUAUUUUUUUAAUUCACACCAAUUAGUUUUCAUUAAUAUUAUCAUCAUUUUCAGAGAUUUUAUUGUUGCUAUGGAACAAGUUCUCAAUAUUAUUUACCCAAAAAAGGAGGAGAUGUGCUUAAGCACAAUCACUCAAGUUGUUUCCAGACAAUGACUUUUAAUCUCGAAGCAAUCCACUUCAAGUUUGUUCCUAUUUCAUAACUUCUAUUCAAGUUAUUAAUGAAGAAAGAAUAACAUAUAUUAUUCACAUGGCUUAGAUAACCAAAAGCUUUGUAGAAAUGGAGAGCAACACGUGUACAAAUGAAGAACAAUGAAACUAUGGAAGACCCAUGUAAAAAGAAGUUUUUAAAUGAUUAAGAUUGUAAUUUUCAUACAUCUACUUGGAUUUGAGUUGUAUCUUGUUUGAUUAUUUUGAAGCUAAUUCUUGAUGUGGUACACAUUACUUGAAUCUCUUAUGUGGUGUAUUAAUUUUAUGAUAAAGAAAAUUCCUUUGAAGUUUUAA